UUCAUGAUGUUAUAGGGGGUUUUUGGGGAGUAUAUUAGAGUUAUGUUUAUGUAUGUUUGGUCCCUCAUUGGAGUCCACCUGUGUAGGUUCGGACCCGAGGAACCGAGGACCCCAGCAGUGAGCCAGCUGCUACAGAGUUUGUCAGAGCUAGCCAGAGGUGAGUGGAACAAACUUUAAGUUUUAAAAUAAACGAAAUAUGAAUUUUGAGCAUGAUCCAUGCAUCAUGAAUGCCAUGAGAUAUAGUAGGUUGCUUGCAUUAGUAUUCACGAAUAUGUUGCAUUGCAUUUAUGAUGUUGAUGUGGAUUGGUCAUUGGAUGAUCCUUUAGUCCUCAUAUGAUAUGAUGAUGUUAUGGCACGAUAUAAGAGGAAGUCCAGGUUGUACCCAUUCUACGUCCCUGGCACGAUGUAAGAGGAAGUCCAGGUUGUACCCAUUCUACGUCCCUGGCACAGUUGGACUGUAUGAUAUGUUAUGUUAAGGGAAAGACCGGUUGUACCCAUUCUACGUCCCGGCACAGUUGGACUAUGUAGAGGAUUAUUGGUGACAAUACCAUCCGAGAUGUGAUUUGUUGUGAUGUGUUGCAUUACAUAAUGA
rnacentral:lncRNA from 1 species